GCGGGCAGUACACCAACCUCCAGUUCCAGUCGACUUCCCUGGGGCUAGCCGACCAGUGGUCGCAGAUCAAGAAGAACUACGCCGC
rnacentral:SRP_RNA from 1 species